rnacentral:rRNA from 1 species
GACGAACGCUGGCGGCGUGCUUAACACAUGCAAGUCGAACGGUAAGGCCCUUCGGGGUACACGAGUGGCGAACUGGUGAGUAACACGUGGGUGAUCUGCCCUGCACUUCGGGAUAAGCCUGGGAAACUGGGUCUAAUACCGGAUAGGACUCCGGACUGCAUGGUCUGGGGUGGAAAGCUUUUGCGGUGUGGGAUGGGCCCGCGGCCUAUCAGCUUGUUGGUGGGGUGAUGGCCUACCAAGGCGACGACGGGUAGCCGGCCUGAGAGGGGGACCGGCCACACUGGGACUGAGAUAGUGCCCAGACUCCUACGGGAGGCAGCAGUGGGGAAGAUUGCACAAUGGGCGCAAGCCUGAUGCAGCGACGCCGCGUGAGGGAUGACGGCCUUCGGGUUGUAAACCUCUUUCAGCAUCGACGAAGCGAAAGUGACGGUAGGUGCAGAAGAAGGACCGGCCAACUACGUGCCAGCCGCCGCCGUAA